rnacentral:tRNA from 3 species
GCCGUUGUAGCUCAGGUAGUAGAGCAUCGCUUUCGUAAAGCGAAUGUCGGAUGUGCAAGUCAUCCCAACGGCU